rnacentral:lncRNA from 1 species
CCGGGGAGUGACGCGGAGCCCAGAAGGCAUUAAAUAAAUAUGAGAGGAAGUCAUUUCCUGAGCAGAAUGACACCGAGCGGCGAGAAACAGAAAAGGCAACGUGAGCGACUGUGAGGAAGCACACCUACGGUUACCAAGCGCCAGCUCACGUUGGUCACAAGAGCGACAUAAAUAGAUCACCUGUCACGUGAAAAUACCAUCAGCUGAGCGACAAGACACCUGCCCGUGCACGUCUGGUGAUGCCCUUUCCUGACAGAUGGAAUAUGAUCAUAUCGUGUUCUAUCCAGCAGGAGCUGAUCGCCUGGAUCACAAGACACAGAGGAGGAAAUAACCAUCAACGGAAUAGAAACAGGGCCAGAGAAAGUGUUGCUGCACCUCUGCUGAAGUAUCGGCCAUAGAGGCGAGUCUCUAAUUGUAUUUCGACUUUUCCCUGAGAAGAUGUUUGUUUUGUCCUGCAUGGCUCAGACGCCCCGGCAUUUCG